GGGCUGGUGAUGUAAAUGGCAGCAUAGAAGUCUCGCAAACUUCUUGUGGGGGUUCGACUCCCCCCCGGUCUACCA
rnacentral:tRNA from 1 species